AACCCAUGGUGAGGGCACCGUCUCAAUAAGUCCUUAUACCCCUCUCAUGCAUCAUAUAACGUUUCUAAAUCGAUAUGCACAAAAGAGAAUAUAUCAUUCGUUAACUU
rfam:Gossypium raimondii Chr13_contig_136, whole genome shotgun sequence.